rnacentral:rRNA from 1 species
GAUGAACGCUGGCGGCGUGCCUAAUACAUGCAAGUCGAACGAAACUUCUUUAUCACCGAUUGCUUGCACUCACCGAUAAAGAGUUGAGUGGCGAACGGGUGAGUAACACGUGGGCAACCUGCCCAAAAGAGGGGGAUAACACUUGGAAACAGGUGCUAAUACCGCAUAACCAUAGUUACCGCAUGGUAACUAUGUAAAAGGUGGCUAUACUACCGCUUUUGGAUGGGCCCGCGGCGCAUUAGCUAGUUGGUAGGGUAAAGGCUUACCAAGGCAAUGAUGCGUAGCCGAAUUGAGAGGUUGAUCGGCCACAUUGGGACUGAGACACGGCCCAAACUCCUACGGGAGGCAGCAGUAGGGAAUCUUCCACAAUGGGCGAAAGCCUGAUGGAGCAACGCCGCGUGGGUGAAGAAGGUCUUCGGAUCGUAAAACCCUGUUGUUAGAGAAGAAAGUGCGUGAGAGUAACUGUUCACGUUUCGACGGUAUCUAACCAGAAAGCCACGGCUAACUACGUG